GCAGCAACUCCCCCUGCCCCUAGUCUAAUCAAGUCCCUUCUCUGUCUAUCCAUCUCUCUCUAUCUCUCUCUCAUAAGUUUAUUUUUGUUCUUUUCCGUUCGAUUUCUUGUGUUUUGCCUUUUUAUUUUUGCAUGUUUACUAACUAAACUAAGUAACUAACACUAACUGAGACACACACAUACGCACACUUACACCUACCCACACACAUAUACACAUACCAAAAGACCCUCACCCAGUGCUCACGUCGAGGCGGGAGCGAAUACAGCUUAGUCCUUGCCACGCCCACAUUUACACGUAACAGCGACAAGGGCUAAACCGUAUUCCGUUCUCGUCCACCACAAAAAAAAAAACCCUCACCACCAA